CUUUGGGGGAACAAGCCCCGAGUAGCCACCAGCUCUAGAUCUAGUCAGGGUGCUGCCUAAGGGGCUUGAAUGCAGAAGCCUCUGCCUGGUCACCUGUGGCUCAGAGAGCCUGCUCCUGUCUCCUGCAGUGGGAAGGGCCUUGGCCACCCACCCUGUCCCCUCCCCUGCAGAGUGUGGGGUCCCGCUCCUGCAUAGCCUGGGAGUCCUCUGCACUCUGGCUCCUGGGUGUCUGAGAACAGCAUUUUUCUCCUUUAAACCACUGUGGGUUUGUACUUGUUGCUUGAGUGUCCUCCCUGCUCCCUAGGACAAUUGCGGGGCUCCCAUUUGGGCUCAGGGAAACCAUACACAACAGCUGCCACCAGUUUGUGUCUCUCAUCUGUGCCUCAACAGCUGGGGGACACUGGCACAGCCAGCCUGUCUCCACUCCUGAGUUCUGGACCUUGUCAUCCUUUCUGCUGUGGCCGUUUGGCGGGUGGGGAGAGAAACAGGGGCCCCUCCAGGACGCCCUGGCUUCAGCACCUUCUGGGUGAGCCCAGAGAUUGAGGAGUUUGUCUCCAGAUGCUGAGAAGCAGGUCUUGCCUGGCUGGUCCAGUGUCCCCCAGUCCACCUAGUGCCCGAG
rnacentral:lncRNA from 1 species